rnacentral:rRNA from 1 species
CGUCAGUCUUUGUCCAGGGGGCCGCCUUCGCCACCGGUAUUCCUCCAGAUCUCUACGCAUUUCACCGCUACACCUGGAAUUCUACCCCCCUCUACAAGACUCUAGCCUGCCAGUUUCGAAUGCAGUUCCCAGGUUGAGCCCGGGGAUUUCACAUCCGACUUGACAGACCGCCUGCGUGCGCUUUACGCCCAGUAAUUCCGAUUAACGCUUGCACCCUCCGUAUUACCGCGGCUGCUGGCACGGAGUUAGCCGGUGCUUCUUCUGCGGGUAACGUCAAUCGACAAGGUUAUUAACCUUAUCGCCUUCCUCCCCGCUGAAAGUACUUUACAACCCGAAGGCCUUCUUCAUACACGCGGCAUGGCUGCAUCAGGCUUGCGCCCAUUGUGCAAUAUUCCCCACUGCUGCCUCCCGUAGGAGUCUGGACCGUGUCUCAGUUCCAGUGUGGCUGGUCAUCCUCUCAGACCAGCUAGGGAUCGUCGCCUAGGUGAGCCGUUACCCCACCUACUAGCUAAUCCCAUCUGGGCACAUCUGAUGGCAAGAGGCCCGAAGGUCCCCCUCUUUGGUCUUGCGACGUUAUGCGGUAUUAGCUACCGUUUCCAGUAGUUAUCCCCCUCCAUCAGGCAGUUUCCCAGACAUUACUCACCCGUCCGCCACUCGUCACCCGAGAGCAAGCUCUCUGUGCUA